GGAAUAUUGGACAAUGGGCGCAAGCCUGAUCAAGCCAUGCCGCGUGAGUGAUGAAGGCCUUAGGGUUGUAAAGCUCUUUCAGUAGGGAAGAUAAUGACGGUACCUACAGAAGAAGCUCAGGCUAACUUCGUGCCAGCAGCCGCGGUAAUACGAAGGGGGCUAGCGUUGUUAGGAUUUACUGGGCGUAAAGCGCAGGUAGGCAGUUUGUUAAGUCAGAGGUGAAAUCCCGGAGCUCAACUCCGGAACUGCCUUUGAUACUGGCAAGCUAGAGUCCGGAAGAGGUAAGUGGAACUCCUAGUGUAGAGGUGGAAUUCGUAGAUAUUAGGAAGAACACCAGUGGCGAAGGCGGCUUACUGGUCCGGAACUGACGCUGAGGUGCGAAAGCGUGGGGAGCAAA
rnacentral:rRNA from 1 species